UACGAAGGGUGCAAGCGUUGUUCGGAAUUACUGGGCGUAAAGCGCGCGUAGGCGGGCUUGUAAGUCGAUUGUGAAAGCCCUGGGCUUAACCUGGGAAUGGCAGUCGAAACUGCAAGUCUUGAAUGUCUGAGAGGAUGGCGGAAUUCCCGGUGUAGUAGUGAAAUACGUAGAUAUCGGGAAGAACACCUGAGGCGAAGGCGGCUAUCUGGCGGCACAUUGACGCUGAUGCGCGAAAGCGUGGGGAGCAAACAGGG
rnacentral:rRNA from 1 species